AAGUUCACUCAAAGUCCCAAUCUGAUCGGUCUCCUCAGGAGUGCUAGCUCGUGUGAAGACCUUAUCUUUGACUGAUCUGGAUCUGUUUUUCAAAUCUCUAAAAUUUUUUCAAAGAUUGAAGAAGGACUUCUAGAGGAGAUGAGGAUUUGAAAAAUAUAGAGAAGAAACUCUCUUCUCCUUUUCCUUUUCUCACUUUUCAAACCCAUAGGAAGAAAUCCUAGAAACUAGAUUUUG
rnacentral:lncRNA from 1 species